AGAACGGUCUCUGACUGUGGAGGCCGUUACUCAGGGCCCAUCAUGAAACUUUGGAAUUCUGAAAAAUGGAAAGCGGAUAAGGGUUUAAAAACCACUUGCUGGGUUACAUGGAGGCAGAAUCGUGGAAUUGUUUUCUCGGAUGGACCCACAUGCGACUGGAUUCAUCUUUUUUUUUUUUUUUUGCAGUUACAAACUAAACUUCAUUUUAUUUUAUUUUAAUUUUUUAAGUUUUUUUUUAUUUUUUCCAUUAUAACUGGUUUACAGUGUUCUGUCAAUUUUCUACGCGCAGCAAGGUGACCCGGUCACACAUACAUAUAUAGAUUCUUUUUUCUCCCAUUAUGAUGCUCCAUCAUAAGUGGCCAGAUGGACUCAUCUUCUUAAAUGAAAAGAGCAUCUGAGAAAACAGCAUCAUUAUGCGAGUCGGUCCUUCCUUUUAACAACCGCAUGGAGCGUAAACCACUGUGUUCCUUCCAGCUCUGAAAAUGGAAUUCCAGCUUUCAAAACAGCCAAGGGAGUUAUUUACGUAAUGAACUAAAAACAAAUAAAAAACCCAGCAAGCACCAGGACUCUUCUUAAGGACCCACCUUCCUUGAAGGGCUCUUAUGAGAAUCAGAUGCUCAAAGAACGCAGGGGAAUGCCAGGGUGGCUACACUCACGACAUAUGGAACCUCCUGGGCUAGGAGUCGAAUCGGAGCUGCAGCUGCUGGCCUACACCACAGCUCACGGCAAUGCCAGAUCCUUAACCCACUGAGCAAGGCCAGGGACCAAACCCACAUCCUCAUGGUAACUAGUUUGGUUCAUAACUUGCUGAGCCACAACGAGAACUCCAUUUUUUUUUUUUUUUUUGGACAUGUGCAUUUUAAAUCUUGAUUUUAACUGCUAAAUUGUCUUCUAGAAAAGUUGCACCAAUUUAUAGUUUUGUUAACAGUGAUGGGGUGAAUUUCCUACUCAAGUCUCUUUUAAAAAAUUUCGGUUAGUGUGUUUAUUUUUUCUUUUUAAACUUUUAUGAUUCACACCCUUCCUCAAAAGGUUUUGACACAUCUUAUUUUUAUGAAAGAUUUGAAAAAAUAAGAAUAGACCAAAGUAACAUAAAGAAAGCAAAGUACAAAGCAAGAAAAACACACACACAGCAUACAUUACAUGGUUACCAUAAGCUCAGACCCAUCCAUUUAGAUCUGACCUUCCCGAAGGACAAAGAGGAAAUGAAAAAGCUCUGAAACUUUCCCUUCGACGAGAGGGCUCGCUGUCUCUUCCAAAAAAGACAAAAUUAUUUGGUUAAUAUUUAAAGGAACUUCUGAGAAAUUGUAGAAAGGUUUGCGAAAGCAUUGCUGAAAAUAUCUUCAGACAAGACUAUUAGACCCCUGGUAGUUAUUACAGUCAAAUAAUUCUAUAGUUUGAUACAUGAAGACAAUUACCGAGAGUCCAUUGCGCCCUGGCCUUGGGGAUUUUAUAGACUACUUGAAUAUAACAAGCAAUAUAAGUAAAGUGUACUGGUAAAAAUAAAACCACCAACUUCUAAUUUUCUCAUCUACAGAGAGUAAUAAGAAAAAAUCAAACGGUAAUAAUUUAUUAUAAUAAUUUCAUUAAUGAAAACAUUUUUUCACUCCACCCCCAUAAAAAGCCUACUAGAAAAGCACGAUAUUGGCAUAAAAGAUAGUAAUAUCCCAAACCAGCAGUUAUAAUUACACACACAUAUAAAUGGCCUUGUCCCUAGGAUUUUCAUUGAACUAUGAAGUCAUAAAAUCUUUUUCGUUGAGGGGCACCAAUUUACAGACUGGUGUCUGGGAGACUGAGGCCGAGGAACCCUGACUGCAUUGCCCAAGAGUCCCAGCUAAAAAAGAGCAAAGCUGGACGAGAAUUCUAGAUCCCUAAUUUCUGUCCCCAAAGCAAGAAAGAAUCUUCAGACUGGAAGGGAAGAAGCAGAGAAUGAAAAAUAUGAAUUUUGAGGCAUGAGAGCUGGAAAGAUAAGACAAGAUUGGCUUCCAUGCCAACAGAUUCAAUAUUUGGCCUUAGAGAGACUUGGGUGUGGGGAGAGCUGGCGGAUACAGGGGACAGUCACGGCAGAAACACUUGGGAGCCCAAGGAGCUACCAGGAGCCUGGAUGUAGAAACUGGAGUUCAAGGGUACUCAUAUGGCCCAGGAAGCCCUGGGGGUCGGCUCUGUGCUCAGCGCUGGCUCCUGAGCCCCUGUUCCAGGAUGCCACGGCAUCUUCAGGAGGCUGGUGCUUAGCUGUGUGAUGGCUGCAGAAGCCCUAGAGAGAGGCCCUCCUGUGUGCCCUUCUCCGCAGUGUCUCAGCGUCAGAGACUCCCCAUGUUCUCACAUCCCACAGGUGGUCACGCUGUCCUCAAGGGAGGGGCUGCCCACCCUGGGGUGGUGAUCACCCUCCCUCCAGUCUGGGUGCAGCUGCCUCUGAACCUGCAUUUCCCUCUUCUCUAGAAUCUCACCCCUUAAAACACAAAUCCAUCCUGUAGUUCCCAUCAUAGUGCAGCGGAGAUGAAUCUGACUAGCAUCCAUGAGGGCGCAGGUUCGAUCCCUGGCCUCGAUCAGUGGGUUAAAGGAUCCAGCGUUGCCGUGAGCUGUGGUGUAGGACAUAGACGUGGCUUGGAUGUGGUGAUGCUCUGGCCGUGGUGUAGGCUGGUGGCUACAGUUGCAGUUUGACCCCUAGCCUGGGAACCUCUGUAUGCAGUGGGCGUGGCCCUAAAAAAAAAAAAAA
rnacentral:lncRNA from 1 species